ensembl:lncRNA
GGCGAGGUCAGCUGCAGGGAGGAAAGACAGCGAAGGUGAACGCGUGUUCAGACUCUCAUGAGCAAAUCUUGCAGGUGCAAGGAAUCCAGACAGCUAAAAUGGCUAGCGUGUACAAGAAGCAGGAAGCAGGGAGCAAACUGAGACACAAAAUGGUAACCUCACGUUGGUUCUCUUUUCACCAACAGCAACUUGACUCCACUGAAGUCGUUUGAGGGUCUGUGGAACCAUCUGAGGAGAGGUCAGAAGGAACAGGUCCAAUAGAAGCAUCUGUGUCUGUGAGAGAAGAUUGGAACAUCUGGAUCCAGAGAUCACUUCUCUGGAGCUGUCCUGGGUGUAGUACAAAUCAAACUACUAAUCAGUUCCUGUCACAGGAUUACCAGCUGCUGUCCACUGAGGGGCCGGAUGCGAACAUUUACCAAGAGGAGCCUGAUGGUGAAAGUCAGUGGUACCCCGACACUGAUGACACCCCAAGACAGUAGGAAGUAGCCUGAGACACAGUGCCCCUCUCUCCCUUUCACCAUCAGCUUCCCCCUCCCUUCCCCCCCCCCCCUUCUUUUUAUGCUAAGAAAAAGGGAAGUAUGUUGGUAUCAGGAAUUGCCUUUACCUCCAACAGCGACACCGGUUGGUCACUGUUGCCAUGGCAACGGCCGUACAUUCCCAGUGUUCCUUUAGUUUAAUUCCCACCUCCAUCUGGGAGUAGUUACCUCACAUUCCAAAUAAAAGGCAGCCCUCUUCUGCCCUCCUUCUCUUCCUCUUCUUUCUCUCGAUCCUUCCCCUUGUCUCGUUCUCCCAUUAAAUCUCUCCACGUGGAACUGUGUUGGUUUGGUGUGCUCUAUCUGGACGGGC